rnacentral:rRNA from 1 species
CCCUACGUGAGGCAGCAGUGAGGAAUAUUGGUCAAUGGCCGGAAGGCUGAACCAGCCAUGCCGCGUGAAGGUCAGUGCCCUAUGGGCGUUAAACUUCUUUUGUGCGGGAGCAAUAAUGGUCACGUGUGGCCAGACGAGAGUACCGUACGAAUAAGCAGCGGCUAACUCCGUGCCCGCAGGCGCGGUAAUACGGGGGAUGCAAGCGUUAACCGGAUUUAUUGGGUUUAAAGGGUGCGUAGGCUGUGAGGUAAGUCCGCGGUGAAAUGCCCCCGCUCAACGGGGUGAAGUGCCAUUGAUACUGCCGUGCUGGAAUGCGGAUGCCGUGGGAGGAAUGUGUGGUGUAGCAGUGAAAUGCAUAGAUAUCACACAGAACACCGAUUGCGAAGGCGUCUCACGAAUCCGCGAUUGACGCUGAUGCACGAAAGCGUGGGUAUCAAACAGGAUUAGAUACCCUUGUAGUC